rnacentral:rRNA from 1 species
ACUCAAAGGAAUUGACGGGGGCCCGCACAAGCGGUGGAGCAUGUGGUUUAAUUCGACGCAACGCGAAGAACCUUACCAGGUCUUGACAUCCCCUGACAGUUCAAGAGAUUGGAUGUUCAUCCUUCGGGAUGACAGGGAGACAGGUGGUGCAUGGUUGUCGUCAGCUCGUGUCGUGAGAUGUUGGGUUAAGUCCCGCAACGAGCGCAACCCUUAUCGUUAGUUGCCAGCAUUAAGUUGGGCACUCUAAUGAGACUGCCGGUGACAAACCGGAGGAAGGUGGGGAUGACGUCAAAUCAUCAUGCCCUUUAUGACCUGGGCUACACACGUGCUACAAUGGCCUGUACAAAGGGAAGCAAAGCCGCAAGGUGGAGCCAAUCCCAUAAAGCAGGUCUCAGUUCGGAUUGCAGGCUGCAACUCGCCUGCAUGAAGUCGGAAUCGCUAGUAAUCGCGAAUCAGCAUGUCGCGGUGAAUACGUUCCCGGGCCUUGUACACACCGCCCGU